UGCAAGUCGAACGAGAGAGAAGGAGCUUGCUUUUCUGAUCUAGUGGCGGACGGGUGAGUAACACGUGAGCAAUCUGCCUUUCAGAGGGGGAUACCGAUUGGAAACGAUCGUUAAUACCGCAUAACAUAAUUGAACCGCAUGAUUUGAUUAUCAAAGAUUUAUCGCUGAAAGAUGAGCUCGCGUCUGAUUAGCUAGUUGGUAAGGUAACGGCUUACCAAGGCGACGAUCANUAGCCGGACUGAGAGGUUGAUCGGCCNCNUUGGGACUGAUACACNGCCCANACUCCUACGGGAGGCAGCAGUGGGGAAUNUUGCUCAAUGGA
rnacentral:rRNA from 1 species